rnacentral:rRNA from 1 species
GAUGAACGCUGGCGGCGUGCUUAACACAUGCAAGUCGAACGGUGAACGAGGGAGCUUGCUCCCUCCGGAUCAGUGGCGAACGGGUGAGUAACACGUGAGCAAUCUGCCCUGGACUCUGGGAUAAGCGUUGGAAACGACGUCUAACACCGGAUACGAGACGCGAAGGCAUCUUCAGCGUCUGGAGAGAACUUCGGUCCAGGAUGAGCUCGCGGCCUAUCAGGUAGUUGGUGAGGUAACGGCUCACCAAGCCUACGACGGGUAGCCGGCCUGAGAGGGUGACCGGCCACAAUGGGACUGAGACACGGCCCAGACUCCUACGGGAGGCAGCAGUGGGGAAUAUUGCACAAUGGGCGCAAGCCUGAUGCAGCAACGCCGCGUGAGGGACGACGGCCUUCGGGUUGUAAACCUCUUUUAGCAGGGAAGAAGCGAAAGUGACGGUACCUGCAGAAAAAGCACCGGCUAACUACGUGCCAGCCGCCGCAGUAACAC